rnacentral:misc_RNA from 1 species
AAGUCGUAACAAGGUUUCCGUAGGUGAACCUGCGGAAGGAUCAUUAAUAAGAUUGAGGUGGUUGUUUAUUUUGGAGUUUCUUCAAGAUAAACAUCACACAUUUGCACAGGAUCGAAAGAUUCUGAUGUUUACGCUUGUUUGUUUGACAAAGUAAAAUUAUUAAAUUUAGACAACUUUUAACAAUGGAUCUCUUGGCUCUU